CCUACGGGUGGCAGCAGUGGGGAAUAUUGCACAAUGGGGGAAACCCUUAUUCAUCUACUCCUCUUUAUUUAAUAAUUAUUUCUUUAUUUAAAUCUCUAUCAUCAGUUAAUAAAAUGACGGUACCUGAUUAAGAAGCCCCGGCUAACUACGUGCCAGCAGCCGCGGUAAUACGUAGGGGGCAAGCGUUAUCCGGAUUUACUGGGUGUAAAGGGAGCGUAGGCGGCAUCACAAGUCUGGAGUGAAAUGCCGGGGCUUAACCCCGGGACGGCUUUGGAAACUGUGCAGCUAGAGUGCAGGAGAGGUGAGUGGAAUUCCUAGUGUAGCGGUGAAAUGCGUAGAUAUUAGGAGGAACACCAGUGGCGAAGGCGGCUUACUGGACUGUAACUGACGUUGAGGCUCGAAAGCGUGGGGAGCAAACAGGAUUAGAUACCCCAGUAGUC
rnacentral:rRNA from 1 species